rnacentral:rRNA from 1 species
UACAGAGGUCCCAAGCGUUGUUCGGAUUCAUUGGGCGUAAAGGGUGCGUAGGUGGCGCGGUAAGUCAGGUGUGAAAUCUCGGGGCUUAACUCCGAAACUGCAUUUGAUACUGCGGUGCUUGAGGACUGGAGAGGAGACUGGAAUUUACGGUGUAGCGGUGAAAUGCGUAGAUAUCGUAAGGAAGACCAGUGGCGAAGGCGGGUCUCUGGACAGUUCCUGACACUGAGGCACGAAGGCCAGGGGAGCAAACGGG